rnacentral:tRNA from 1 species
GGCGAGGUAGCUCAGAUGGUUAGAGCAGCGGAAUCAUAAUCCGCGUGUCGGGGGUUCAAUUCCCUCUCUCGCUA